rnacentral:rRNA from 1 species
AUUGAACGCUGGCGGCAUGCCUAACACAUGCAAGUCGAACGGGAACAGGUCUUCGGAUGCUGACGAGGGGCGAACGGGUGAAUAAUACAGCGGAACGGGGGCAGACGUGGGGGGUAACGGGGCGAAAGCUUUGCUAAUGCCGAGGACGAAAUAAGGGAGAACGCAGGGGGCGGGAAGGGCUUGCGCGUUGGGAGCGGCCGAUGGCAGAGUCGUGAGUUGGGGGGAUAAAAGCUUACUAAGCGGGCGAUAUGUAGCUGACCCGAGAGGACGACCAGCCACACUGCGACUGAGACACGGCCCAGACUCCUACGGGAGGACGCCGUGGGGAACUUUGGACGACGGGCGAAAGCCUGAUCCAGCAAUGCCGCGUGCAGUAUGAAGGCCUUCGGGUUGUAAACUGCUUUUGCACGGAACGAAAAGGUUCUGGCUCCUACCUGGGGGACAUGACGGUACCGUAAGAAUAAGCACCGGCUAACUACGUG